GGUGAGGUGGCCGAGUGGUUUAAGGCUCUGGUCUUGAAAACCAGUGUACUGAAAGGUACCGUGGGUUCGAAUCCCACCCUCACCG
rnacentral:tRNA from 1 species